CGUUACCGUUUCGCUCCGCCUUCGGCCGCUUUCUCCCGAUUUCCCUCUACUCCUCCUUCCAAAUCCGCUGUUAACUCCAACUUAUCCUAAAUUUGGGAGCCAUGGUGGAUUUGAGGCUCACGAGAGGCUUCAUCUUCUUCGAAUUGGAACCCUAGCGAUCUCCCCUUGAUCCCAAAAGGUGAAGUUUUGUUGGGUUCGGGGGUUACUGGCAUUGUCUUGGUGCAUUAGGAAUCGGGUGGUGGGAUAUAUGGAAUGGAUCUGCGUGUGGCGUCUGUGGCAUGCGUUCGUUGACUGCGGCAAAAUUCGAAAUCCACCCAUCAGAUAGCAGGAGGAGGAGGAGGUGACUGCAGAGGUUCUAGGGCGAAAACAAAGAAGAAACAAGGAUGGGAGAAGAUCUCCUCACCACCUUAUCCAUGGAAAACCAUCACCCAUCCACGCUCCUCUCCAUGGAUCCAUCUGGAGGCCUUUUACUGUCUUCGUCACACGAGGACUCCGACCGUGAGCUCUUGAUCCAGCGGCCGCAGGUUGUCCUUUCUGGUGCCCCGGACAUCAACGUCCCCCUCUCGGCCGAACGUUCUCCUUCCCAGCAAUCGUGGAAUUCAGACCCUUUUGACAUGCUGGAUGUUGGCCUUGGCCCUCAACUCUAUGAUGCAGAGGCAACCCUUCACAUCCCAAAGGUCACUGCUGCUCGCAAGUGCACCAAGCGAGGGGAUAGCAUUUGGGGGGCGUGGUUCUUCUUUAGCUUCUAUUUCAAGCCUAUUCUCUCGGAGAAAUCCAAGGGAAAGGUCAUCUGGGAUGAAAAUGGGGUUAAUGGCUUUGACAAGUCUGAUGUUCGCCACGAUGUGUUCUUGGUUCAGCAUGACAUGGAGAACAUGUACAUGUGGAUUUUCAAAGAGAGGCCAGAGAAUGCGCUUGGGAAGAUGCAACUGCGGAGCUAUAUGAAUGGGCACUCUCGUCUUGGUGAGCCACAAUUCCCAUUCAGUGUUGACAGGGGUUUUGUUCGGUCCCACAGGAUGCAGCGCAAGCAGUAUCGGGGACUGUCGAAUCCACAAUGUGUCCAUGGAAUUGAGGUCAUCAGGUGUCCUAAUCUGAUGGUUGUUUGUGAGUUGGACCGCAAAAAGUGGGUGGAGCUCACGGGCAGGGAUCUUAAUUUUUCAAUCCCUCUUGAAGCCAGUGAUUUUGAGUUGUGGAGGAAUCUAACCAACACUGAAUUUGAACUUGAGAGGCCUCCUCCAUUGAAGAACAUUUCGCAUCCCCAUCCUAAAAAGUCACUUAACGUUUCGAGUUUGAAUUUAUCUUCACAGUCAAAUCAUUCUAAUGGUGAUGGGAUGGACCUUUGUCCUGUUUGCAGUAAACGCAGGAAGGAUUUCUUCCCUCAUGUUAUGCAUGAGGAUUUCUGCCUUCCUGCAAAUCCCCAUGCUGAAAGAGGUCAAGAUGUGGAGAUGCACGAAGUCGAGCCAUCAUGGUUGAACGAAUUCACUGGUGUUAUGAAGCAUGCAUAUGGACCUGUAACUGCUGCAAAGACAAUAUAUGAAGAUGAUGAGGGGUACUUGAUAAUGGUGAGCUUGCCAUUUGCUGAUCAACAAAGAGUGAAAGUUUCUUGGAGGAACAAUCUUACACAUGGAAUUUUGAAGAUAAUUUGUGUCAGCACUGCCCGAAUGCCUUACAUAAAAAGGCAUGACAGGACUUUCAAACUAACUGACCCUUCCCCUGAGCAUUGUCCUCCAGGGGAAUUUAUAAGGGAAAUAGCACUACCGACACGUAUCCCUGAAGAUGCCAACCUGGAAGCAUACUAUGAUGAAACUGGUGCUUUGCUUGAGAUUAUGGUUCCAAAACAUCGAGUUGGACCAGAAGAACAUGAAGUUCAUGUGUGCAUGCGCCCCCCUCACCUUGGGGCUAAUGAUCUUCUGUUGACCUGAAUAAGUGGUGACACCAUGUGUGCAGCUGGAUGCAUGAUGGAGAAGAUAUACUCGUCGGUUUGGGAUCAAAAGGAUGAUAUAUGAAUCAGUAUUUUCCAGACAAUGGGAAAAGAGGCCACAGCCACCAACAGCAAGUUUGGAGCUUCUGUUUAUAUUCAUCAGCAUUUAUUAGCUUACACUAUGAAGUGAUCUUGCUGAUUGUCUUCGCCAUGAACGAGAUGGUGGCAUUUACUCCCUCUUAGAGAUGUGUGCUUUGGUCUUCAAGAUUUUAAACGGAGCUACCUUCUUCCCCGAGCCUAUACAACUCUGCUUCGAUUUUGCCCACAACAAGAUCAUGUUCUGCUGUCACCUAGUUUUCUUCAUGUAAUUGGCUGUGUGUGCUGCAGAUGUUCGGAUACAUGGUGGUCGUGGCAGAUGUAUCGGAAAGAAAUGAUCCAUAUAGCGGCGGCGGAUCAUGUUUGGACUUUGAUCAACAGAAACAUGCCAACACAUGAAGACAAGGUAGGUUGGCUUGUUUCCUUGUUUCAUGAAGUAAAUUGCUGCAGUCGUGGUGCUUGACGACGACAGCUUACCCGUGCUCGGUGCACCCACUGUCGACGAAGGGCAAGAAGAGUGGGAGAAACACAGCUUUCAUGGGAAAAGGGAAAAGCCAACACAGAUUCCUCUCGUUGCCUUCAGCAUAUGAGCUGGUCGUUUGGAAUCUACUCAGCUAGUAAACACAAUACUCAGAUCAGUCUAAGACGGAAAAAACUCCUUUUCAUGCAUGCUCAGAUCAGUCUAUUAUAAAACCUUUUCUCAGAUGGAUUUGAUGAGGUCAGACUUGGAUUAUUCAUUUGAUCCAUUCGACAUGUCUUCGAAUCGAGACAAUUGUCGAAAAAGCUUCGUUUCCAAAUGAAACUUUUUAUUUUGAUUAUAUGAUAUUUGAUGUGAUCAAACUGUAAUAGACUUGGUGGAAUUUGGAAUCUUA